ACUAACCGCUUGAGCUAUGGCGCGGCCUAAAGUAAACCUAUACAGCUGAGUUGAAUAGUUUACCUCUUGAACUACCGGGGUCGGUUGCAUGUCCUACAAUAUCAGCUGAGCGUAGUUUGCAACAGUAAUUUACACUGUAGUCAACCUUGGGCGUUCUGCAAGAACGGUUUGUGUACGGAGACUGCGCCCUUGGACAGUCUGCAACGUGGUGGCGUGUCAGGAAGUCUGCUACACUCCACAGUGAGUAAAUCGCUUUGCUCUAGACCGCCACAAUGGAACGCGAGGACGCGAGGUCAACAGAAGGGUUGCUGCCCAACCAUGAUGGUGCAGAGUUGAUGGAUGAACUGAUACAGCAAGUGGAUGCUGUGGGCGGCUUCCAGAAGCUCUUCAACGGUCUCUUCAACUUCUGUGCUGUAGCGGUUGGUGUCACGAGUGUGUACACUUUGGUUCUUGCAAUGGAAGUGCCCGACCACUGGUGUUACGUACCUGGAAGAGCAUCAACUAAUUUUAACCCAUCGGAAUGGAAAAAUCUCACAUUACCAAGGGGCAGGGGCAGUGAGGAAAAUAAUGCCUACAGCAAAUGUGAAAUGUACAACUUAACAGGGCCGAUGAUCUGGGCUCGUAAUACAAGCGGCGUCAAUGUUACCAGCUGUCAGUAUGGGUGGGAAUACGACCGGAGGUGGUUUUCCAGAACAGUCCCUUCGCAAGAAAACUGGGUGUGUGACAAAAGUUUAUACGUCACAAACACUUUCGUUGCCACGCAGAUUGGAGAAGCCGUGGGCACCAUCUCGUUUGGACAUAUGUCAGACACCAUAGGCCGGCGACCUGUGUUCCUUUUGGCGCUCACCCUGCUGAUUGUGGGCCGCGGGUUAUCCGUAGUGGCGGCUCCUCAUUACUACCUGUACCUCGUCACAGUCUUCAUCGGACACAGCUCUCUGUCGUCCCUUUGUUUUGCUGCCACCACCACCGGUAUAGAGCUGUCUUCCGCCGAAAGCAGGGCCAGAGUUGUGAUGCUGCAGUCACUGGGCUGGACAGGAGGAAUGUGUCUCGUACCGCUGGUGGCCUGGCUUACAGGCGAUUGGGUCAGCUUCGUUCUCCUGCCUCUCUUCCCGGCAGUCGCCAUCUUAAUCUGCGCCCAGAGUUUAUUCCCGGAGUCGCCCCGAUGGCUGGCGAGUGGGGGAAAGAUCUUACGGUGCAUGAGGUCCUUAAGGUACAUCGCCAGGAUAAACAAGCAGCUCUUGCCGGCUAGUGCUGAGGACACCUUGCGCAACUUUGCGGAGCAGAGCAAGGGCGUUGUGUACGGCCCGGCCAGCUUCAUGUCUAGCGUGAGACUAGCCACGAACACCGUCCUCCUCGUCAUCUGUUGGAUGCUGAACGCUGCCUCCUACAUCAUACUGCUACUCAACGUGAACAACAUGUCCGGAAACCCGUACUACAAUUUCUUCUGGCAGUCUGCAGUUGAGUUCCCAGCCGGAUUCGCUGCCAAGUGGCUGAGUGAUCGGCUCGGAAGGAGAUCGACGCACACCGUCACGUUCCUCGUUGUCGGCGUCUCAUGUUUCGGCGUCACAAGAAUCGUAAACAAACCGAGUUUACACGAUCUAAGCACUGCAGUUGUAAUCUUCAUCAAGUUCUGCAUUACCAUAACAAAUUUCGUGUGCUACCUGCAGGCUAUGGAGAUAUUCCCUACUUGCCUCAGGCAGACUGGAAUGUCCUUUGCUAACCUAGCAGGAAAUGUGGCAAGUGUUCUCGCCCCUUACGUGGUGUACUUGGGCUCUCACUUGAACCAGAAGUACCCUUACAUCGUGCUAGGCUCGAUGGCCAGUCUUGGGACUAUAGCCACAGCCUUCCUACCAGAAACCCUCAACAGAAAGCUACCAGACAACAUCAAAGACGCAAAGUAUUUCGGAUUAAAUCAGAAAUUUUGGAGUUUCUUCCAGGAGGCUUCUGCAGACCCACAGCGCAUGCGUGUCAACUGAAGCAAAGAAGACAGGAAGCAGUGAGUUCAUGCGAAUCAGAACUGCCAGUAGUCCUCAGGUUGGACAACCUUGCUAUAUGUUAGUGACCAUGGCGACUCCAAUUAACACCAGCAGCCACACUUUGUUGAUUCCUGACGGAGGGCAAAUCUACAAUAACAGUAUUCCCCCAAGACAUCAGCUACAGCGGAACAGGAAAUUAUCUAUAUUACUGAAAAUGAUACAGCUUCUGAUGGCCAUCGCGUGUCUCGUAUUGUUCUCUGCUGGAGGACAACUGUUCUCUGACAUCAAAAGAACCGCCUUCACAUACGGAACUUUCGGAGCCUAUAUCAUCAUCCCCGUGUUCUUGAUUACGGGGUUCAUCAUAGGAGAAGUGACGCCAGUUCUACUGGUGGGGUACAAUUUAUUCGGUGCAGUCCUGUUUGCUUUCGUGGGGUCACUUGGGGUGGAUUCAUGGUGGAGUGUACACAUUGACUUGGAUCACAUCUCCACGAAGAACGUUUCUGUGAUCGAACGCUUGAACGACAUGAAGUUGAUGUCCGCCAUCUUGUCUCUCACCAACACUGUCUUCUAUGCAGCAGACACUGUCAUCGAGGGCGUCAUCCUUCAUGACUUAUAUAUGAGAAAUUAAGAUAUCAGCUGUGAAUGUGUUGGUUUAUAUUUACGACUGACAGAACUGAUGUAGAGUUCAUGUCCGUUUGAAAGUCGGACAUAAAUAUAGGCCGUAUAUUUUUAGAUCGCAAUGACACUGUCUAUAACAACCUUAUAUAAGAGACACUAAAAAUGUAAUUAAUACACUGAAAGUUCUUGUUAAAUACAUUAAAAUGUCAUUUUAAAGUAUUUAGGAAGAAUUCUUAUUGUUAAAUUUAUUUUUAGAUUAUUUUAUAUAAUGUCAUUGUUGCAUUACAGACGGUAUACUUACGAUCUAAAAAUGAUGCCACAACGCAACAGGAAGCUGAAAUAUAAUAGACCAUAUAUAUUGAACGUUUUUAUCUACAGUCACUUCGUCUAAUCACAUUACUGUAUUGAAUUAUGACGGAGAGAAAGUUAAGGUUAAUAAUUACAUGAACAUUUACUGUUUCAUAAAUUAUGUUAAUGUAUUUGCCCAUGGGCGCCAUCGAAUACAGGGUUAAACCGGAUAUCUGCACUUCGCCUGAAAUUUGAAAACUAUAUCAUAUUUGAAGAAGCAAAGGAAAUGUA